rnacentral:ncRNA from 1 species
UAGGAACCGUGAGAUUAAGCCAUCGCGGCAGGUGCUCACGUUAAGCCCACUGACUUUCAUGUCCCUAUCUACUAUCUAGCGAAACCACAGCCAAGGAAACGGGCUUGGAAUAAUUAGCGGGGAAAGAAGACCCUUUUGAGCUUGACUCUAAUCUGGUAGUGUAAGGAGGCAAAAGAGGUGUAGAAUAAGCGGGAGAUAUUAGACUUCGGUUUGGUAUCGGCAAUGAAAUACCACUACUCUUAUUGUUUCCUCACUUACUUUAUUAAAUGGAACGUGUAUCAUUUCCUAGCCAUUAUACGGAUAUAAUUUUUAUGUCAUAUGGUAUUGGGUUUUGAUGCAAGCUUCUUGAUCAAAGUAUCACGAGUUUGUUAUAUAAUCGCAAACAAAUUCUUUAAUGAGAGAAUGCAUUUAUGUAUUAGUGAUUUAAAAAUUUGGUAUAACUCCAAUUACUCAGGUAUGAUCCAAUUCAAGGACACUGCCAGGUAGGAUAUUUGACUGGGGCGGUACAUCUCUCAAAUAAUAACGGAGGUGUCCCAAGGCCAGCUCAGUGCGGACAGAAACCACACAUAGGGCAAAUGCUGACUUGAUCUCGGUGUUCAGUACACACAGGGACAGAAAAAGCUCGGCCUAUCGAUCCUUUUGGUUUAAAGAGCUUUUAACAAGAGGUGUCAGAAAAGUUACCAUAGGGAUAACUGGCUGUGGCGGCCAAGCGUUCAUAGCGACGUCGCUUUUGAUCCUACGAUGUCGACUCUUCCUAUCAUGUAAAGCAAAAUUCACAGCGUUGGAUUGUUCACCCAUGCAAGGGAACGUGAGCUGGGUUAGACGUCGUGAGACGGUUUU